GACGCCGUGGGAGGGAGGCUUGUUUAAACUGCGGAUGCUGUUCAAAGACGACUACCCGUCCUCACCGCCGAAAUGUGAGUAGAGCCGAGUCCUCCCAGAUCCCUCAGCGUCGGCCGCAUUCCUCUGGGACCGAGGUCCUCAGAGAGCUUGGGCCUGUGGGGCCUCAGGUAUGUGCCCUGCUCCCCGCAGCUCCAUGGGCGCCCGGGGAACUCAGAACAGGCCCAGCUCCCACCCUGGGGGCCUCCUGGGCCCUUCCUGCCGGCGGAUGAGCUCCCGCCCUGGGCCGGCGUGCGCGCUGAAGGACCGCGGACCAGAGCCGCCCCCCAAGGGGACUUCCUCGCUGGUUGGGGUUUCAGGCCCAAGCUGCCUGUGCAGACGGCAGAGCGGGCGGCGGGAAGAGAGGCCGAGGCUGCGCCUGCGGUUCUGCUGUGGUGGACGCAGUAACCCGUUUACUUAGCGAAACUCGGGAGGGUUCUGUCGCUGGAGAUCCGCACUGGCUGGUGAAUGGAGUGCCCUGGUACCUGCCCUGGCGUGUGGAGGGUGCCUGGCAGGCUGUGAGAGCCUUGACUCGGCUGGCUGGAGAGAAGUGUGCUGUCUUUUAACGGCACAAGCAGACUUUCUGAGACUCACCGCCUUGGAGUGGGGACCGACUUCAUUUCAGGGGGUUCUUUGCUGUUCAGGGCUUUUUGCCACGUGCACGUCUUAGCUUACAGAACGUCUCUGUUUAAGAGAUGAAACGUGGACUUCCCAUUGUGGCUCAUUAGAUUAAGAGCCCAGCAGUUGCCACAGGGAUGCCGGUACAGCCCCACCCAUUGGGUGAAGGAUCUGGCUUGUGGUGAGCUGCGGUGUGAGUUGCUGAUGCGGCUUGGAACUGGCAUGGCUGCGGCUCUGGCUGGGGUGGAGGCCCAGCAGCUGCAGCUCUGAGUCGACCCCUAGCCUGGGACCCUCCAUGUGCCACAGGCACGGCCCUAAAGAGACCAAAAGGAAGAAGGGAUACACACGGUAGCUGCUCUCAUCACUCCCGCUCCACAUUGUGGGGAAUGGCAGGCCCACACAGCCGGGCAAGACAACGAAAUCCCCGCAGCACAAGUGGAAGGAAGACGGGACUGCAAACCAUCUUCCUCCGAGUCUGUCCUAGGGGUGCUGAAUAAAAGACGAAUUUGCAAAAAUCUAUUCAUGUAACUGCAGCAGAUGCAAGCUCCUAAACGCCACCAUUUAAAGCAGCGUCAAACAGCGUGGAUGACAUCCAGCAAGAGACUCUCGAGACUGCUGUGCUGAAGACGAGGCGUCUGUGAGGGCCAGGGGCUGCCUGGGUGCCUGGUGGGUCGGGCCACUGUGCACACGCCCGUUCUCUGGGGCUCUUCUGCAGGUCCAGCCUGACCCUGGUCGCCGUGCCAGCAGCCCUUGGGAACCGUCAGGCAGACUGAGAAGCAGGAAGUGCCCAGAAGAGCCAGGGCUCUGGAGAUGAGGGGGCGGAGCUGGGGCUCAGGCUGCUGCCCGCCCAGUGAGGGGACCCAGGCCGGCCCUGCUCUGGGGACACAGCGACUGAGACACAGUCUGCGCAGCAGAGCCCAGAAAGGCCAUCUGCGUCCGGGGCCUGCAGGUGGCAGGUGGGGCUGCGGGCACGGGGAGGGCGGGCUGGCCCUGACGAGGAGAACGGCUCUUGCGUGGCAUCUCAGUGCCCGGUGGGAAGUACAGCAUCAGGGCUGAGCUGCUGGCCCAGCAGGUUAAAGACCUGGCCUCGCUGCUGUGGCGCAGGUUUGUCCUUGGCCCUGGAACCUUCACAUGGCUGCAGGUGCAGCCGCAGGUGCCCCACUGCCGCCGCAGCCAAAAGAGUGCAGCUUCGGAGCAAGUGGGGGAACCUCUUGCUCAUGUUCGCGGCUGGGCGUUUAACCGGGGAAGCACCUGGAGCACCCCCACUCCCCCGCCGUCACCCCCUUGGGGACAGUGAUGAGCUGACCGAACUGAAAUCAAGACCACCUCGACCGGGAGUCGCCAGCAAGAGUGGAGGGGGCAGCACGCGCUCGUCAGUGAGUUCUCUCCGGUCUGUCCCUGGCAUCGCCUGUCGGGCGGCACACAGCCAGGAGGGGAGGGUGCUGCACCUGGCUCCCGGCCCCAUUUGCGGCCGGAGUGGGAGGGCCCGGCUCAGGGCUCACGUCGGUUCCGAACUCUCCCCCGGAAGUCUCUGGCUCGUCUGCUGCGGCCACCCUGGGACCCGGUGCUCAUGGAGGAGCCCAGGUGUCGUGCCGAAUGGACAGGUCAGCAGCGGACCAUCUGUGGCACAGGCGAGAGGCUCUGAAGUGUCCCCCAGAUGCUGAGGCGCUCACGCGGGGCGUCGGCAGGCCAAGCAACGACGGGCAGUGUUGGGAGUCGAGAGGUGACUUCCUGGCGCGCCCACCCCUCCCGAGCUGGGGGUGGGGUGGGGCGGUGCCGCUGCCCAUCCAGCACCUUCUCUGGGUGGGGACAAGAAUGAUGUCUCAGGUUAUAUUUGGGUUGGGAACUGGUGUUCACGGAAAGGCACCAGAGGUUUCACCAAAAGUGAAAGAAAAAGAUGAACUCUGUGUAGGAGAAGGCGUUUGGGAGGCAGAUAACUGACAACGGACCUGCGUCCCGCGUGUGUAAGGAGUGUCGACAAGAAAAGCAUGCAAGGUUUGAGCAAGGAAGCAGUCACCGCAUCGCAGGGAGUGAAAGAGGAUCCAGAAAACGCAAAGCAGAACCGCAAGAGUGGCCGAAUGCCAUGACUGAACCACGGGUGCUGGCAGCAUCUUGGCGCUGUACACUGGCACAGCCGUUGGAAAGCAGUGGUGUCUGCAGUUUCAGCAGAGACCCCGUGCAAGCCAGUGUCUUCCCGUAGAAGUGCGCACACACUGGCAUUCCCGUCAUGGCUCACUAGAGACAAAUCUGAUGAGUAUCCAUGAGGACACCGGUUUGAUCCCUGGCCUUACUUAGUGGGUUAAGGAUCUGACGUUGCUGUGAGCUGUUGAGUGGGUCGCAGACACAGUUCAGAUCCGUGUGGCUGUGGUGUAGGCUGGCAGCUAAAACUCUGAUUCAACCCCUAGCCUGGGAACCUCCAUACGCCAUGGGUGCGGCCCUUAAAAAAAAAAAAAAAAAAUGCGCACACAUCAGGAUUUGCCUCGAGGGACGUGCACAGCUUUGUUGUGGCUCAGAUGCGCCCCUGCGGCGGGCGCUGUGGGCAAGUCCUCGGCACAGCUUCCCCCAACAAGGCCCGCACAGCACGGGUGUGGGAACUGCACACAUGACCCUGAGAGCCAGGAGUCCUCGGGGGGUUGCGAGCUGGGGUGACAGGACAGGCAGGGUGGUGUGUGAUGGGGGGAGUUUUCUUGAAGCUGCUGGUGUGAGCAGGUGAGUUUGUUUUUGUCAGUCCAUCAAGCUGUGCUACACCUGCUGCACUAAAGUGACAAGGGGAAGGUGCCCCAGAUGGGAACAAGGAAGCCUGAGCCGAGUCAGUGUCCGUGAGAGAGAACACGGGGUCCUUACCGCCUCUGUCGCGACGCAGGAUGAUCUGCCUUGAAAACAACCGCUCGCUUCGAAGGGCCUCUGAGCCUCUGCCUGGAGGCCCCCAGGACGCUCGCCUCGGCCCCUUCCCAUCCUCCCGAGUCGAAGACUGCCUGCCGCGUCCCGGGAGGACAGGCAAGUUCGAGCCGCCGUUAUUCCACCCGAACGUGUACCCUUCGGGCACGGUGUGCCUGUCCAUCCUGGAGGAGGACAAGGACUGGAGGCCGGCCAUCACGAUUAAGCAGAUCUUGUUAGGAAUACAGGAACUUCUAAAUGAACCAAAUAUCCAAGAUCCAGCUCAAGCAGAGGCCUACACGAUCUACUGCCAAAACAGAGUGGAAUACGAGAAAAGGGUUCGAGCACAAGCCAAGAAGUUUGCUCCCUCAUAAGCAGCGACCUUGUGGCAUCAUGAAAAGGAAGGGAUUGGUUUGGCAAGAACUUGUUUACAGCAUUUGGCGAAUCUCACGUUGCUCUCUGCAAUCCUGGUCACCCGGGGAGGGUUGGGCGGGCGCCAUUGCCAUUUCCGCCACGGGCACAGUCUCGACUCGCAGAAUCGCCCCGUUUUUCAUACAGGGUCUCUUCCUUCAGUCUUUUGUAUUUUUGAUUGUUAUGUAAAACUUGCUUUUAUUUUAAUAUUGAUGUCAGUAUUUCAACUGCUGUAAAAUUAUAAACUUUUAUACUUGGAUGAGUCCCGAGGAGCUAGUCCCCUUUGCUCGCGGAUGCAGGCAUGCUUCACACCGUCUAGAGCUGCACUUAGCCUCCAGCUGGCUGCACGACAGAAAAUCAGACCUGCCCCCGCCGCCGCCGCCCUCCCAGAGCCUGGCUUGUGUUGCUUACGAGCCUCGGAUCCAGUCAGCCAGCGUCGCGUCUCCGCAUCACUUCCUUUGUGUUUAUAUGGCGUUUGUCUGUGUUGCUGUUUAGAGUAAAUAAACUGUUUAUAUAAAGG
rnacentral:lncRNA from 1 species